CGCCUGUUUAUCAAAAACAUGGCUCUUUGAUUUUUACAUAUAAAGAGUCGGACCUGCCCAGUGAUAAAAACAUAUUUAACGGCCGCAGUACCCCUGACUGUGCAAAGGUAGCAUAAUCAUUUGCCCUAUAAUUGAGGGCUAGUAUGAAUGGUCUGACAAGAGCAAAGCUGUCUCUAGAAAGUUUUUUAGAAAUUAAUUUUUAGGUGAAGAAGCCUAUAUCUAACUAAAAGACGAGAAGACCCUAUCGAGCUUUAAAAAUUACCUAGGCUAACUAAUACUUUUUUUGGUUGGGGCGACCAAGGAACAAACAAAGCUUCCUGAUACUAAAAAAAUUCUAUAUAUUGAUCCAAUAAAAUUGAUUAAAAAAAUAAGCUACCGUAGGGAUAACAGCGUAAUCCUCUUUUAGAGUUCAUAUUGAGAAGAGACUUUGCGACCUCGAUGUUGGACUAAAAUAUCCUAAAGAUGCAGAAGUCUUUAAGGGUUGGUCUGUUCGACCAUUAAAAUUUUACGUGAUCUGAGUUCAGACCGG
rnacentral:rRNA from 1 species